AACUUCCACCUGGCAUACCUCUUCAGUCUUGUGUCAAUGCUUGSAUUGCAUUGAAUGCACGGUGGGUUUCUUGUGUUGCAUGCCUAAUUAAUGGUAUCGCUUGAUGAAUUGGUAUUCUUUYCGUCUUGUGUCGCCUAUGCGAUGUGAGAUGAACCUUGAAGCAACCUUUGUGAUCCACUCUKUUGAUGCAUACGCAUUGAUUUUGUGGCCCAUUGAGUGUUGCUUGGUCUCAUGGAUAUGGAACCUGGUGUGGGCAUGGAAUCUUACUGGUUCCUUGUUUGCCCAAGUUUAGCUUUUCUAAAACGAUUGUCUAUCAUGUGUUAACGUGGUAGACARCUUCGAAUAUGAAUGCUACCUGGUUGAUCCUGCCAGUAGUCAUAUGCUUGUCUCAAAGAUUAAGCCAU
rnacentral:misc_RNA from 1 species